CAAACCUCCCUGCAAAACACUCUCAUCCGAACGACUCCAUCAGCAAAUCCAACAACACCUCGAAGAGAUCCCCCAGCUGCUGCUGCUGCAGGAGACAACACUGAGUUACACGCGACAAGCACCCCUCCAUCAAACGCCCUUGAUGCAAUCCAGAGAAGACCCAACCUUGUUGAACUAUGUUCUACUCUUGAGAAAUUCCACCAAGUAAUUCCGAUUCUUGUCAAGAAAGUGGUUACGCUUCGAAGACUUGUUGCGGAAUCGGACUCCAUCAUUCAACAAAUCCCAUUCUACGAUCACGAGGCUACCUACUACUGCUUGAAAUCUGAGGAGCUUCUGAAAACCUGCACAUUUCUCCUGAAAGAAAUCUCCAAGGCCUCCACACUACAGUAGAG